rnacentral:lncRNA from 1 species
CCGUUCCUGGAACUUAACAUGGGACAUAGACAUUUCAACAGAAACGGGACUGCUUUGGUUCAGAUCAUGGGAAUUGAUGAACAAGUAGUAAUGAAAUGAAUGAUCAGGAUGGACCAAUGGCUGGGACAGCUUUGAAGGCAGAUGUGUGUAGAAAGGGAGUUUCAUUGGCACUGAAGGGGGAAGUGAUGCACGACCCAGUGAUGAUGUUUGAUCAUGGAUGAUCACGUCCUAGGCUUCCUCUACAUCCUGGGGACACACGCAAAUUGUUAGUAGAGAAGGGAGAAGGCCGGAC